rnacentral:rRNA from 1 species
AGAUUGAACGCUGGCGGCAGGCCUAACACAUGCAAGUCGAGCGGUAGAGAGGUGCUUGCACCUCUUGAGAGCGGCGGACGGGUGAGUAAUGCCUAGGAAUCUGCCUAGUGGUGGGGGAUAACGUUCGGAAACGGACGCUAAUACCGCAUACGUCCUACGGGAGAAAGCGGGGGACCUUCGGGCCUCGCGCCAUUAGAUGAGCCUAGGUCGGAUUAGCUAGUUGGUGAGGUAAUGGCUCACCAAGGCGACGAUCCGUAACUGGUCUGAGAGGAUGAUCAGUCACACUGGAACUGAGACACGGUCCAAGACUCCUACGGGAGCAGCAGUGGGGAAUAGUUGGACAAU